GGCCUUGUAGUCUAGAGGUACGAUACUUGCUUUGGGCGAAUCGCAAUUGCAAGUGGCCUGGGUUCGAUUCCCAGCAAGGCCC